GACGGACGCUGGCGGCGUGCCUAAUACAUGCAAGUAGAACGCACAGUUUAUACCGUAGCUUGCUACACCAUAGACUGUGAGUUGCGAACGGGUGAGUAACGCGUAGGUAACCUGCCUGGUAGCGGGGGAUAACUAUUGGAAACGAUAGCUAAUACCGCAUAAUAUUAAUUAUUGCAUGAUAAUUAAUUGAAAGGUGCAAUUGCACCACUACCAGAUGGACCUGCGUUGUAUUAGCUAGUAGGUGAGGUAACGGCUCACCUAGGCGACGAUACAUAGCCGACCUGAGAGGGUGAUCGGCCACACUGGGACUGAGACACGGCCCAGACUCCUACGGGAGGCAGCAGUAGGGAAUCUUCGGCAAUGGACGAAAGUCUGACCGAGCAACGCCGCGUGAGAGAAGAAGGUUUUCGGAUCGUAAAGCUCUGUUGUAAGAGAAGAACGGGUGUGAGAGUGGAAAGUUCACACUGUGACGGUAUCUUACCAGAAAGGGACGGCUAACUACGUG
rnacentral:rRNA from 1 species